rnacentral:lncRNA from 10 species
CACGUUUGUUAUUUCAGUUGCUGAGAGAAAUUUCACUGGUCUGUGAAAUCCACGAGUCCUCAUAUCACAUUUUACCCAGGAUUACUUGUUGGUGAUAUGUCCUGGAGCUGCAGGGAGCCAGCACAUGGAGUCUGUCCAAAAGUGGCUUCAUAGGAUAAAGCUGAAAGAUGAAGAAUAAAAGACUGAGACCUACUGAUGUCAUUGAGCCCUGGAUCCAGCUAAGCCUGAAGAGAUUGUUAUGGAUCAAGAGUGUCCAUAAAAAAGAACUAAAACUGGAGUGGAAGCUGGUAGCUGGCAAAAGAUCUUCCAAUGAAGGUGGGAGAAUUUUCAAGGCACUUACCUGGCUACAGAGGAUGACUUUGGCAUUUAUAUCCAAACAGGGCAUUAGCUGCCUCCCCGCGGGACAAGGCUCGGGACCUGCAGCCCGCCAUGCCUGAGCUUCCGCACCGCCUUGGGGCUCCUGCGCAGCCCGAGCCUCCCUGACGAGCGCCGCCCCCUGCUCCACGGCGUCCAAUCCCAUCGACCACCCAAGGGCUGAGGAGUGGCGGCGCACUGCGCGGGACUGGCAGGCAGCUCCACCUGCGCCUGGUGCGGGAUCCACUGGGUGAAGCCAGCUGGGCUCCUGAGUCUGGUGGGGACUUGGAGAACCUUUUUGUCUAGCUAAGGGAUUAUAAAUACACCAAUCGGCACUCUGUAUCUAGCUCAAGGUUUGUAAACACACCAAUCAGCACCCUGUGUCUAGCUCAGGGUUUGUAAAUGCACCAAUGGACACUCCGUAUCUAGCUACUCUGGUGGGGACUUGGAGAACGUUUAUGUCUAGCUAAGGGAUUGUAAAUACACCAAUGGGCACUCUGUAUCUAGCUCAAGGUUUGUAAACACACCAAUCAGCACCCUGUGUCUAGCUCACGGUUUGUGAAUGCACCAAUCGACACUCUGUAUCUAGCUACUCUGGUGGCGACUUGAAGAAUCUUUGUGUCCAUACUCUGUAUCUAACUAAUCUAGUGGGGAGGUGGAGAACUUUUGUGUCUAGCUCAGGGAUUGUAAACACACCAAUCAGCACCCUGUCAAAACGGACCAAUCAGCUCUCUGUAAAACAGACCAAUCGGCUCUCUGUAAAAUGGGCCAAUCAGCAGGAUGUGGGUGGGGCCAGAUAAGAGAAUAAAAGCAGGCUGCCUGAGCUGGCAGUGGCAACCUGCUCAGGUCCCUUUCGACACUGAAAGGUUUGUUCUUUUGCUCUUUGCAAUAAAUCUUGCUACUGCUCACUCUUUGGGUCCUCAAUUCCUUUAUGAGCUGUAAUACUCACCGGGAAGGUAUGCAGCUUUGCUCCUGAAGCCAACUAGAGGACGAACCCACCAGAAAGAAGGAAGAAACUCUGAACACAUCCAAAUGUCAGAAGGAACAAACUCCAGACACGCUGCCUUUAAGAACUGUAACACUCACCGCGAGGGUCCGUGGCUUCAUUCUUGAAGUCAGUGAGACCAAGAACCCACCAAUUCCAGACACAAUAUUGCAAACAAUGAGGAGCCUCUGAAGAAUUUUUAGGAGAGAAAGUAACAUGAUCAGAUUCUCACUUGCAUGCUGGCAAUGAUGUGCUGGGUGAAUUGUGAGAAUAAAACUGGCGAGAGAAGUGAGGUAGUGAAGGAUGCUUGAUUUAGGGCACAGGCAGAAGAGAUGAAAAGGAAGUGGUGGUGGAGGGAUAAUAGGAGAUAAAAUUGACGGGAGGUGGUGACUGAAGAUUAGAGGGCAGGAACAAUGUGAGCAAUAGGAGGACAAGAUGGUUUUUGAGGUUUCUAAUUGGAAAAGAGAGUGUGGUGGUAUUAAACACUGAGAUAGGAAACACAGAAAAGAUUUUAAACAAAGAUCGUGAGUACAGAUGUGUACACAAUGACUUUGAGGAACUUAUCAGUUGUAGCUAUAGUCCAGACCUCAGAAGAGAGGUUUGGAGAAAUACCUGGGAAUCACAAAGAGGGCAAUAAAAGCUGUCGACAUUAAUAGUGUCACUGUUAAGAACACAGGCUCUGCUGUCAAAAGACUCAGAUUGGAGUUGCCUCUCUCAUUGACCUUGUGCAAGUUUUCUAAAUCUGAAACGUGCUGUUAAUAAUAUCUCUUAUAAACCACUAAAGAAUUAAAUGGAAACGUAUCUAAAGCAUUCAACAUGGUGUCAGGCAUGUCGUAAGUGCUCGGUAAUGCUACCUUAUAUUAUUCUGAUGAAUCGGAUUAGAAAGUUAAAAUUCACCUGUCUGGGUGCGGUGGCUCACACCUGUAAUCCCAGUACUUCAGGAGGCCGAGGCAGGCAGAUCACGAGGUCAGGAGACUGAGACCAUCCUGGCUAACAUGGUGAAACCCCAUCUCCAGUAAAAAUACAAAAAAGUAGCCGGGUGUGGUGGUGGGUGCCUGUAGCCACAGCUACUGGGGAGGCUGAGGCAGGAGAAUGGGGUAAACCCGGG